GUGCUCGCUUCGGCAACUCACAUACUAAAAUUGGGAUGAUGCAGAGAAGAUUAGCAUGGCCCCUGCACAAAGAUGACACGCAAAUUUGUGAAGUGUUCCAUAUUUUU
rfam:Myotis brandtii contig174206, whole genome shotgun sequence.